UGUCCCAUUCCUGAACCCGGAAAAUCAUCAGAAAAUCCUAAGUCCAAUAAAAUGGGGUGGGGUAUGGUCGGAAACAGAAUGCCCUGGAUCAAUAUUAUAAUUGUUCUGUCGACUUCCUUGUCACACCCCAGAGCCUGGCAAAGAAUUACACUAGGCCUAAUCGGGUGAGGUUACGGAUGACCUCAGUGACAUAACAAUUACGUAUUCUCCAAAACAGUAUAAGAGAAGUUGGACAGUUCUUGUGUACUCAUUGAUGUUUUUGUCAGAGGUUCGAUUUGUUAAUCGACGAGAUGCGUUUGUUUUGGAUUUUUUGCUUUGCCAUUGGAUUUUGGGUCGUGAAUUCGAUGGAUAACGGUGACGACGGUGAUGGUGGCGGUAAUGGUGGGCAUGGUGAUGGUGGUGACGACGGAGGUAAUAAUGGUGCGGCUAACGAAGGCCAAGAAAGGAGACAUCUUCAUGGCUACAGCUUGAAUCAGCGUUUGGACUACGUGGAUACUUUUAGGCUGCACCAUGCGAUGGGCAUUGCGCAUGCCCGGUCUUGUCGUUCUUUUGCCGUACAUCACCGCAUCCAUCCAAGGACAUUCUCAAGAUGGCUAGACCAGUAUGAAGAGAUGUCGGAACGCCGCGACAGGUGCACCCAAAUUGAGAGGAGACGGCGGAGGAUUCGGCAGCAUGGCAAUGAUGAACAAGCGUUUUGGGCAGACAUGGAAAAUCAGCUCAACGACUGGUUUAUUCAACGCCGCCAGCAUGGAAUUCCAGUAUCCGGGAUCGAUCUCCAGUCACAAGCAGCCAGAGAAUACAGACAAUGGUGGACUAAUCUGACGGAGGAACAAAGGCAGCAGACGAGAGCGCAAAGGCCUCGCAAUCAGGAUUUCCGAGCGUCAGAUCACUGGCUGACCCGAUUCAAAGAAAGAAAAAGAAUAAGCCAUCGAAGAAAGAAUAAGGACACG